AGGGUUUCUCUCUCUCUCUUUCUUCUUCUCUCAUCUUUCACUUUUUUUUCUGGGAAAAUUGGAGUUUUGAAAGAGAGGUGAGUUUUCUUUUCCGCCACCGAUGAAGACCCACCGUGGCGACCCCUCUUGGGGUCGUCUUUGGCCACAAUUUGCUAUGGCAUUCGCCCUACUCCUUCUUUCUGCCAAUGUAGAAUUGGUUGCCGGAAAUGCUUACGUGUACGCUUCUCCACCCCCACCUUACGAGUACAAGUCGCCGCCGCCGCCGUCUCCGACUUAUUCUUCACCUCCUCCUCCUGAAUAUAAGUCUCCUCCACCACCGUCUCCAGUGUAUGAAUACAAGUCUCCACCACCACCAUCA
rnacentral:misc_RNA from 1 species